CGGGGCCGGAGCGCGGGCAGACGGCGGCGCGGAGCGAACCGAGACGGUGUCCCAUGAUGGUUCCCCUUCUCACAGUGCAGCCCAGGCCACUGGAAGGAAAAUGGAGCUCUUGACAUUCUGGCUGUUUCACCAGCCCUGUGCAAACAUCCAGACCUUUUACCUGGGACGAUCAGCAGCAUUUCAGGCUGAUAAUGGCACCCGUUUGCUUUGCUUUUUGCUGCAAGAGCUGAGCCUGGAGCACUGUCCAGGAAAACAAAAGAAGAAAUCAUACCUGCCGUGGCCCUCGGAGCCUCGGUCAGAGGUGAUCUGAUCCAUGGUAACUGAGCACUCUUGCCUUGACUUUUAUGAGCGUUUGGAAGUGCUUGACAUUACAUGACGGGGGCAGAACAUGUGUGGGCAGCACCUCGUCCAGGCAAACCAUGCAAGGCCGUGUGCAGCCGCACGAAGAGACCUUCUGUGCACAUCAGGGGC
ensembl:lncRNA